rnacentral:rRNA from 1 species
GCUCAGGACGAACGCUGGCGGCGUGCCUAAUACAUGCAAGUCGAACGCUUCUUUUUCCACCGGAGCUUGCUCCACCGGAAAAAGAGGAGUGGCGAACGGGUGAGUAACACGUGGGUAACCUGCCCAUCAGAAGGGGAUAACACUUGGAAACAGGUGCUAAUACCGUAUAACAAUCAAAACCGCAUGGUUUUGAUUUGAAAGGCGCUUUCGGGUGUCGCUGAUGGAUGGACCCGCGGUGCAUUAGCUAGUUGGUGAGGUAACGGCUCACCAAGGCCACGAUGCAUAGCCGACCUGAGAGGGUGAUCGGCCACAUUGGGACUGAGACACGGCCCAAACUCCUACGGGAGGCAGCAGUAGGGAAUCUUCGGCAAUGGACGAAAGUCUGACCGAGCAACGCCGCGUGAGUGAAGAAGGUUUUCGGAUCGUAAAACUCUGUUGUUAGAGAAGAACAAGGAUGAGAGUAACUGUUCAUCCCUUGACGGUAUCUAACCAGAAAGCCACGGCUAACUACGUGCCAGCAGCCGCGGUAAUACGUAGGUGGCAAGCGUUGUCCGGAUUUAUUGGGCGUAAAGCGAGCGCAGGCGGUUUCUUAAGUCUGAUGUGAAAGCCCCCGGCUCAACCGGGGAGGGUCAUUGGAAACUGGGAGACUUGAGUGCAGAAGAGGAGAGUGGAAUUCCAUGUGUAGCGGUGAAAUGCGUAGAUAUAUGGAGGAACACCAGUGGCGAAGGCGGCUCUCUGGUCUGUAACUGACGCUGAGGCUCGAAAGCGUGGGGAGCAAACAGAAUUAGAUACCCUGGUAGUCCACGCCGUAAACGAUGAGUGUUAAGUGUUGGAGGGUGUCCGCCCUUCAGUGAUGCAGGUAACGCAUUAAGCACUCCUCCUGGGGGGUGCGACCGCAAGGUUGAAACUCAAAAGAAUUGACGGGGGCCCGCACAAGCGGUGGAGCAUGUGGUUUAAUUAGAAGCAACGUGAAGAGCCAUACCAGGUCUUGACAUCCUUUGACCACUCUAGAGAUAGAGGUUCCCCUUCGGGGGCAAAGAGACA